AUGCAGUGAUGCUUUGAAUUUCUUCACCUGAUAUAAGUCUGAAGACAUUAUUUUCUUAAGUCUGAGCAUG